rnacentral:lncRNA from 1 species
UUAGAAAGAUAUAAAUAUUCUAAUAUCUCCAGACGUCUUUUCAAAAAUUUGAGAAAAGCUUGCACAGAUAUAAACAAUCUGUCUAAUUGUGUGUACUUUACAUAAUGAAUGUAAUAUUUUGCCUGUAAAAUACAAUAGUUUAACACUAAGUUAUCAGAAUUCAAUAUACCAAAAAUGACACUGUCUUUAUUUAAAAAUAUUUUUACUCCAAAAACUAAAUGCCACCAAUUAGAAAAUUCUCUCCAAAAUCGUUUUAUUUCUAUACAUUCAAAAAAUUUAUGCUCUAUAGUUUCUAUUUCUUUACAACUGGCAC